UUGAACGCUGGCGGCAGGCCUAACACAUGCAAGUCGAGCGGAUGAAGGGGGCUUGCUCCUGGAUUCAGCGGCGGACGGGUGAGUAAUGCCUAGGAAUCUGCCUGGUAGUGGGGGAUAACGUCCGGAAACGGGCGCUAAUACCGCAUACGUCCUGAGGGAGAAAGUGGGGGAUCUUCGGACCUCACGCUAUCAGAUGAGCCUAGGUCGGAUUAGCUAGUUGGUGGGGUAAAGGCCUACCAAGGCGACGAUCCGUAACUGGUCUGAGAGGAUGAUCAGUCACACUGGAACUGAGACACGGUCCUGACUCCUACGGGAGGCAGCAGUGGGGAAUAUUGGACAAUGGGCGAAAGCCUGAUCCAGCCAUGCCGCGUGUGUGAAGAAGGUCUUCGGAUUGUAAAGCACUUUAAGUUGGGAGGAAGGGCAGUAAGUUAAUACCUUGCUGUUUUGACGUUACCAACAGAAUAAGCACCGGCUAACUUCGUG
rnacentral:rRNA from 1 species